rnacentral:rRNA from 1 species
UACGGAGGGGGGCUAGCGUUGUUCGGAAUUACUGGGCGUAAAGCGCACGUAGGCGGCUUUGUAAGUUAGAGGUGAAAGCCCAGGGCUUAACCCUGGAAUUGCCUUUAAGACUGCAUCGCUAGAAUUGUGGAGAGGUAAGUGGAAUUCCCGAGUGUAGAGGUGAAAUUCGUAGAUAUUCGGAAGAACACCAGUGGCGAAGGCGACUUACUGGACACAUAUUGACGCUGAGGUGCGAAAGCGUGGGGAGCAAACAGG